rnacentral:rRNA from 1 species
GACGGAAGGUGCAAGCGUUGCUCGGAAUCACUGGGCGUAAAGGGUGCGUAGGCGGCCGUGCAAGUCUGGCGUGAAAGCCCCGGGCUCAGCCCGGGAAGUGCGCUCGAAACUGCGCGGCUCGAGUGCCGGAGGGGAGAGUGGAAUUCCUGGUGUAGCGGUGAAAUGCGUAGAUAUCAGGAGGAAUACCGGUGGCGAAGGCAGCUCGCUGGGACGGUACUGACGCUGAGACGCGAAAGCGUGGGGAGCGAACAGG